CAAGAAAUUCUGUCCUGAAGCUCUCUUCAGUUGACUUGGUAUCGCUACUUUUAGCAACAGUGAUAAGACAGCAAUACCAAGACCUGGCCUCGUUAAGAGAAAAAUGGACAUGGAGAGAGGCAAAUACACAGGGAGAAAACCAUAUGAGGAUGAAGGCAGAAAUCAGAGUGAUGCCUCUAAAACCAAGAAACGACAAAGAUUGCCAGCAAACCACCAGAGGGUAGGAGAGAGGAAUGGAACAGCCUUCAGAAGGAACCAACCCUGCCAACAUCUUGAUCUUGGACUUCUGGACUCCAGAACCCGAGCAGAUGCACGUGGAGCCAGUGACUAUGAAGUGGGUCAUAUUGAAUUUACUCAGUUUUUCUCAAGUCUUCAAGCGUGAAGUGUUGCAAACCAUCGUAUGUACACUGGGGAAAGAAAGGAAGAAAAAAAAAAGAACUCCAAGGAAAAGCCUGUGAAAGGAAAACGGCAAGAUAAAGCAACACAAUUUCAAAUCUUAAUCUCCUGAAACGGUGCCUUGAAAGCCGCACUUUCCACAUUUCCGAGUGGGGCCCUUCAAAACUCCGUGUCAAAUCAUGUUAUAACCUUGCUUCUUAUCUGUUUGUGAGAGCUUUCAAGGGCCAGUAAUUCCCCCAUAUGUGGCAGAAAAGUUCAUAGUAGAGAUUUGUGCACUUGACUAAGCUUCCCGCCUUGCUUUCUGUGGGGUGCUGGGAAGGAGGGAGAUUUGUUCUCCCUUUCAGAACUAAAUCAUGCAACUGCCAAGGACACAGUCUAGAAGCAAACCGGAAUCACUCACUUGGUCAGAUAAUCUACAGAACGAUGACUUAAUAUUAUACUCUCUGCUUUUGUCCAGUAAAUCACACAGCGGUAGAAUGUCCCUGCAUUGUUUCCAAGUAAUAACUAACAGACAAGACCCCUUCUAUGAGGGAGGCCUUUUUGGUGCCCUCUCCCCUGACAUUCUGCUUUGGCACCCCUGUCCCAUCACCAGAGAUGACCUGGAGUUCUGGGUGGUGGCUGGCUGCUGGGGUGACAACAGUGCCACGGGCUUGGGAAAGAAGAGUCACAGAAACCGUAACAGCUGUGGAGAGAGGGUGUCAUCUGCCACGAGAAGGGUGGGGGAUAUCACUCACUUCAUUUCCUCCUCUACCUGCCUGGUGGCACUUUGACUGUCCUCAGGCUUUAACAGGAAGAGGCAGACAGGAGAGCUCUGAGGAGCAACCUCAGGACCAGGGCUCACAAACGCCAGUGUCAGCGGGGCCAGGUAGGCAAUGCCAGUGAGGGAGAUGGACCAGGUGAAAGGCAAUAAAGAUGGUUGGGGUCUAAGAAAAGAAAAGAAAAGAAAAAAAGACAUCAUCUACUACAUUUUUUUUUAAAACAAAGAUAUCUUCCUUUAAAAAAAAAAUAAAGAUUACAUUUAGAAACAAAAACAAAAUUAGGUGUUCGUGGCAAAUUAAUAUAUUUUCUUGCAUUAAGCAUGAUACCUGUUGUUCCCUUUUUCCUUGACUGUCAAGAGGCUCAAAGCUAAAUUUUGUUUCCUUUUGAUUUUUUUGACACAGUUAUCUUCCUCUCCCUCCCAUCCCUUUCCUCUCCCAACGCAUACACAGAUACAUGUGCACGCACACACACACACACUUCAUAUACACACAUACACAUAUAUGAUAGUUAUAGUUAUAUUGUUAUCUUUGGCUUUAUUGCAUUUGUCUCUUUCACUGUAAGUUGCAUGGGAAAUCCUUUUCACAAGUAUGCAGAGUAAAAAAUAAAUUAAUAAAAUGAACAGUUUCUACACUCAAGAGGCCAUUUUUUCCACUUCUUUAACUGGAA